GAAGAAGACAAAUUACACUCUGGUUACUAACCGUGACAUUUUGUUGGUAAGCCUUAUGGAAUCUUGUUCUAAGCACUAAGUUUACAAGAAUAUUUUGAGGUCCUCUGAGUUGCUUAUUUACUUAGUUAACAUAAGUUCUUUUUCUCCUGAUUGCUUUCUGAAGGAAGAGAUUUUGUUCUCGGUGAUUGGGCAUAGUGAUUUCGAUGCAUCGCCUGAUCUCAUUCUCACAGAGGAUAUCAAUGGGGUGAAUGCUGGUAGGAGAAACUUGCACAUUGUUCAUUUUUACUUUAUGUUUGUCCAAAUCAUUUGCCAAGCAAAGCAAUGUCAAUUUCUGUGAUAUAUCACGCUCAUUAACACUGAAUAUUUGUUCACCUGCUCCUGUGUCUUGAGAAUACGCAUAUGAUAGCUUAGUAUGACUCAUUUGGUGGUUGAUGAAAAUCAUAUACUGGUCAGAUUGUAGGAGGUUUGUUAUUAGUUGUGCCAUUCAUUUUUAGAAAUAGAACUGAGAGAUGAAACCCAUCUUUCGUGAAUUAAAACUGAAUGUGCAAGUUUUUAUUGAAGCAACAACAAAGUUUAAGUUCUGAUUUUGUAGAUAAAACAUAAUUGCCGACUGAAAAUUUUUCCUCCCAGAUACCUGUGUAUCUCGUGGUUGAUUAAAAUCAUCAAUAUAAUCCUGUGAUUUUAGAGUAGUGUGAUUUUGAAAAAAAACUACAAUGCCAAACUCGGCCGAAGCGAUGUCAUAUGAAAUCUGGCUUCCAUGGUUUAUACUAAAGGCAUCAUUUUUCAGGUGGUAUAUACAAUUAUACACAACUUAAUUUAUUCUAAAAAAUCAUAUUUCAAAGCUGCCUGAGCUCACCACUAUCCUUGCUUCUACAAGCUAAUCAACUUAAUUUUAUCCGUCAUUUGUUUUGUAUUCUUGUCAUUUAUUUAGAUAGAUGUUUAUGUCCUUAAUUAUGUGGAAGGUCAUGAUGACUGCACCUACAUCUGGUUCCACUUUCUUGACAAAUUUGUGCAAAAUGUUUUUAGGUAGUCAACCUAUUGAUGCACAUGGACAUGAUGACUCUCUAGCGUUUAUGGACCAACCAACCUGUAAUCAUGGACCUUAUUGUUUUGUAGACCAUUUGGUGUUUCGAGUGUUUUGUAGCUUGCACUUUGUGCAUGUAGAUACAAACUUGUGUGUUCUGGACCAUCUGAAGUCUCUCAUAGUAACCAAUAGUCCUUAUCUUUUUGUGACUUGUGUGUUCUAGAUGAUUGUUAAGAUGGUCAAAACUAUGCUUCCUCUAGGUUAAUUUGUUUGUCAACUUGCGUUUAAUGUAUGUGCAUGUUUAUAAACAUAUUUUCAUUGUGGUGUAAUAUGUGUUUAUCUUGAACCUUCUUGUGGGUGUGAGGAUAAUAAUUGAAUAUUUUUAGAGCUGGU
rnacentral:lncRNA from 1 species